rnacentral:rRNA from 1 species
AGCGAACGCUGGCGGCGGGUCUAACACAUGCAAGUCGAGCGCCCAGCAAUGGGAGCGGCAGACGGGUGAGUAACGCGUGGGGAUGUGCCCAAUGGUGCGGAAUAACCCAGGGAAACUUGGAUUAAUACCGCAUGUGCCCUUCGGGGGAAAGAUUUAUCGCUAUUGGAUCAACCCGCGUCUGAUUAGCUAGUUGGUGAGGUAAAGGCUCACCAAGGCGACGAUCAGUAGCUGGUCUGAGAGGAUGAUCAGCCACACUGGGACUGAGACACGGCCCAGACUCCUACGGGAGGCAGCAGUGGGGAAUAUUGGACAAUGGGCGCAAGCCUGAUCCAGCCAUGCCGCGUGAGUGAUGAAGGCCUUAGGGUUGUAAAGCUCUUUCGCCGGUGAAGAUAAUGACGGUAACCGGAGAAGAAGCCCCGGCUAACUUCGUGCCAGCCGCCGCGGUAA